GAGAGAUGUGUGAUGACGCAUAUCAAUAAGCGGAGGAAAAGAAACUAACAAGGAUUCCCUUAGUAACGGCGAGUGAAGCGGGAAGAGCUCAAAUUUGAAAUCUUCAAGGUUCUACCUUGACGAAUUGUAGUUUAUAGAAGUGUUUUCUGUUAGUGGAGUGGCAAAAGUUCUUUGGAAUAGGACAUCAUAGAGGGUGAGAAUCCCGUAUUUGGUCAUUCCUCCUAGCGUUGUGAUACACUUUCAACGAGUCGGAUUGUUUGGGAAUGCAGUCCAAAAUGGGUGGUAAAUUUCAUCUAAAGCUAAAUAUUGGCGAGAGACCGAUAGCGAACAAGUACCGUGAGGGAAAGAUGAAAAGAACUUUGAAAAGAGAGUUAAACAGUACGUGAAAUUGUCAAAAGGGAAGCGUUUGACACCAGUGUUGUUUUUCCGAAAAUCAAUUACGAAUGUUUUAUUUUUGAGGAGUUAUGACUUCAUCGGCUUGCUCCUUUCUUUAUGAAACUUUCUUAAUGCACUUUUCGGUUAACAAGUCAACAUCAAUUUCUUUUGUUGUAAAAGGGUAUGAGGAAGGUGGCUUUCUUUUCGGAGAAAGUGUUUAUAGCCCUGUGACUUCUACAAUCGGAGAGAUUGAGGUCUGCAGCGUAGAUCCUUCGGGGUUAGAUACGUUUGUGCUAAGUUAUAGCUUUUCAUAGACAACUUGUUGACUAUGAUUAGUCUUGUAGCUUACUCGCUUACUGCUAUUUUACCUACGCUUAGGAUGUUGAGUAGCGACAUACGCAC
rnacentral:rRNA from 1 species